rnacentral:rRNA from 1 species
AAUCGAAGCAGUGAACUUAAGCCCCAGUAAACGGCGGCCGUAACUAUAACGGUCCUAAGGUAGCGAAAUUCCUUGUCGGGUAAGUUCCGACCCGAACGAAAGGCGUAACGAUUUGGGCACUGUCUCAACAACAGACUCGGUGAAAUUGUAAUUCCGGUGAAGAUGCCGGAUACCUGCGACAGGACGGAAAGACCCCAUGG